GUGAUGAUUAGCUAUAAAUCCUACAAACUCAGCAGAUAUCCUCGAAGAAAGAGGACUUUUUACAACUAUGAAUGGUGGCUGACGGAGAUUUCAUAAGGAACUUCAUCUCCUAAAAUAGAGGUGGAGGGGGAAGAACUUAGACUCCCUCCUGGCCUCAAACUUUGACUCCGAACAGGAGUCAACUGGAAGAAAAAUCAAUGGAAGAGAAUGGGAGUCCUCUCUAUUUUUCUAUUUUUUUUAGGCUGCUUUAAGAUUGAUGCAACCAGAUCUUUGAUUGAUUGGGAUAUUACAUGAUUUGUUGAACGCAUUCAUAUAUAUGUACACACAUAUAUAAAUAGAGAGAGAGAGAGAGAGACAGAUUGGACUUAAGUUGACU
rnacentral:lncRNA from 1 species